rnacentral:tRNA from 1 species
GGCGUGAUAGCUCAGUAGGUAGAGCAACGGAUUGAAAAUCCUGUGUCCCCAGUUCGAUCCUGGGUCUCGCCACCA